GAUAAAAGGGUAUUACAGAAUGGGAGAAACUGAAAAGUGAAGAAAAGGAUGGGCUAAAUGUGGAAUAUUAAAUGACCAUCAGUCAAGUACCACUAACAAGGCAGAGUCUCACACUGGCAGUUCAUAGCUGGAUGCGUAACAGACAUCUUUAGUUUGACCUGCACCAUGCUUUUACCUUUUUUAACCACAUUGCCCAUAGAUUUUGGUGAGAGAAACAGACAGACUGACAAACAGAUAGGUAUUGGCCAAAGUAAAUAUCUGAGACCUCUGUCCAUCCUAUUGCCACCACUGUACCCAAACCAUCAUCAUUUGUAUUACUACCUU
rnacentral:lncRNA from 1 species